rnacentral:lncRNA from 1 species
CUAUCUGGCGCAGCGUUUACACACCAGCGUCCGCGUUGGGUCGCGGGCGAGCGCACGGCGGGCGGUGCGACCCGAGAGUAAGAAUGACAUAAAAUGAAAAAAGCAUCAAUGUGAGUUUCAAAUGUGGCAAGAAAAGAAGGGCUGCUGGUUAUGAUUGCCUGAGUUCAGGAUUUCAUGUUGGAAGGACAGUUAAAUGUAAACUUAUUUUCUUAAUUCCAAGAAGUAUUUCUUCUUGGGAAAUUUUCAAUCAAGGAGUUUGUUGAAAAGAAAUAUGCUUCGUGAGUCAACUGCAGUCUCUUCUCUACAUUAGUCUUAAGACUACUAGCAGAAUAGAAGCAAAUUAAAGUGAAGGCUUAUAUACAGCACAAGAAAACAAAGACAUGGAGUUUUGAGGAGUAAAGGUAGCAUGGUGUCGGCCAUGGGU